AUGGCGGCUCCAGAGGGGUCCUCGUCGUCGGCCGGCUGGACCGGGAAGAAUCUAGAGGAGAUGUUGCAGCACCUCGAUCUGAAGGACGAGGAGCUGGAUGAUGUGAUAGUAGGGGAAGAGGAGGUUAAGAAGUUUGAGGCAGAGGCACGAUGGAUGGCGAUCGGUAAGCUGAACACGACGCGUCCCUUUAGCUCCUCGGCGAUGUUUGAAACUUUAAAAUCAGUAUGGGGACUAGCGCAUGUGCCGAAGUACAGAGAGGCUGGAGACAACCUUUUUGUGUUCCAGAUGUUUUGCUUGGGUGAUUGGAAGAAGGUCGUUCAUGGCGGCCCAUGGCUGUUCAAGGGGAUGGGGUUGCUAAUCGAGGACUAUGAUGGCAAGACAGACCCAGCAUCGGUGGUCUUUGAUGGACUGUACGUGUGGGCACAAAUUCACAAUAUCCCCGAUUUAUACCGCAAGGUUGAAGUGGUGGAUCAGCUUGCUCGCCGCAUAGGCCGUGUGAAGGAGACUCAACUCGCUCCCAAGUUAUAUUACAAGGGAGACUACAUCAGAGUUCGAGCAAGGUUACUUGAGGAGCAUUUUUAUGACAUGGACAAGGCAGAAAUCCUAAACAUCCCUCUUAGCUCUAAGGUACAAGCAGACUUCUGGUCUUGGCACUAUGAUAAGAGGGGCCUUUUUAGUGUACGUUCGGCUUACAGGCUCCUGGCAGCCACAAAGGAGCAGCGGACUGAUUGGCUUGAGGGCAACCCUGGACACUCAAAUAUUGGCGCGGACAUGCGCUCUUGGUCAAAAUUGUGGGGCGCCACGAUUCCAUCAAAAAUCAAAGGUUUUGCAUGGCGACUUGCUAAAACGUCCAUCCCCACAGGCGAAGUUCGAAAACACAGGAAGAUGGCAGACUCGGCUGAAUGCUCGAUUUGUCAUGCGGCUCUAGAUACAUGGCGUCAUUCUCUCUUUGACUGCCGGCUUGCAAGGUGCGUCUGGGCGCUGGCCGACGAGGAGCUGACGGAUGUGCUUAUCUCUAAUCGUACUGAUGAUGCAAAGAAAUACUUAGAGGAUCUGGAGCUGGCUUCUGCACUCAAAACUAAUCAGCCCCAGGCACUGCAUGCAAAGGCGAGGGGUAUGCAUGCAAUUUCCAUAGGCAUGCAUGGAACGCAUAUGACAGAAACAGUUCCCACAGGCCCCUGCUGGCUGCAACCUGAUGCUCACGAGUUCAAAAUGAACGUGGAUGCCGGCCUGGCUAGGAACGGCUCAAAGGGGGUUGCAGCGGUAAUAUGCAGGGACAAGAGUGGCAAAUACAUGGGCGCCUCAGCCGUCGUCUUUGAGGGGCUCGUCGAUCCUGCGACACUUGAAGCCCAAGCGUGCAAGGAGGCUAUGGAUUUGGCUACAGAUCUUCAUCUCGACUCGUUGUGUAUUGCUUCAGACUGCCUAGAAGUGGUGGCCAAUAUCACAUCUGAGACCACCUGCCGGCCGACAGCCAUGGAGGAGUACAUGGCGAGCAUGAAGGUCCUCUAUACGGCAAAACAUGUGAGAAACGAGUCCGGGCAGCAUGCCAAAGAACCAAUUGAGACAUCGAUGGAAAAUUUCAAGGAUUAUAUUAAGGAAGAUAGAAGUGAAAAGAAUAGAUGCAUGCCUCUUGGCCAUGAAGAGAAAUAUAAUGAGUCCUGCACCGGAGGAGCCAAAGUCCCCGAGGCAACCGUGAUAGAAGUUGAUCUGGAGGUGAUGCUUGCUGUGAAGACCUCAUCUGAUACAAGAGAGCUGAUGCCAAGGAAAGUUAAUAAACCAACUAACAACAUAAACAUUUGCGUACAACCCUCGGUAUAA
rnacentral:rRNA from 1 species